AUCUGGCUUUGGAAGGGAGUGACUCGAUUUUCUACUUUUGAUCUUAGCCAAAAGGCCAAGAAGUACUAGAGUCACUCAAUUUCCUUAGCUGAAAAAAAGGUGGCUGAGGCCCUGUUUAAACCCGAAAUUCUCGAAGCCAGAAUUCAGCCUUUGCACUCACUGAGCCUCCCCUUCCCCUCUCUGAUCUCUGCCUCUCUUCUCUGGGAAAUCCACCACCUCACCUGUCUUCUGAUGUCCUCCUCCAACCUCCUUGCUCCUACUGCCAUUCAUCUCUUGAGGCCGCUGGAGUACCAGGCAAAGGCGGGGGCCUCCAGUGCGAAUCCAUUCCACUGCCUGGGCAUGAGUGAGGCCCCGUGUUGACUGUCCAUUGAUAUAGAGCACAAGAUCACCAGCCUGCAAGAACACAAUGCUGUAUGAAGGGCAGAUGGAGACUUGACAAGGAUAAGGACCAUACCUAUGAAUGCUUAGAGCUGACCUGCAAAUGACCACAUCGCUGUGCUGGCCCAUCCUUCAGCAGUCCACAUACAGCCAACGGCACAUUCCCGGAUACAUUACGGCCUCCACUUAAAGUGAGACCAAAGCCUGCAGGACCUCUGACCAGCUCCACAGAAAAUCGGCCAGUGGCUUGGGGUAGUCUCGAAGCAUAGCUUGCCUUAUUCUGGAUUACUGGAAGUGGCUCCAUACGUGGACCCUGCGUGUCAGAUCUUUGAUGCUGGAAAAGGAGCAAAAGUAUACAGAAAUGAGCUUGCUGUGUACCUUAGGAUUAUUAUUGCUGUGAUGAGACACCAUGACCAAAGCAACUUGGGGAAGGAAGAAUUUAUUUGGCCUAUAUGUCCAUAUCAUAGUUCAUCACACACACAAAAAGUCAGAACAGGAACUCAAGCAGGGGCAGGAACAUGGAGACAGGUCCUGAUGCAGAGGCUGUGCGAGGUGCUGAUUGUUGGCCUGGUCUCCAUAGCUUGCUCAGCCUGCUUUUUUUUUCUUUUCAAGACAGGGUUUCUCUGUGUAGUAAUGGCUGUCCUGGAACUAACUGUGGAGACCAGGCUGGUGUCAAACUCAAUGAUCAGACUGCCUCUGCAUCCUGAUUACUGACAUUAAAGGCGUGUGCCACCACUGUCCAGUCAGUCUGCUCUCUUGUAGAAUCUAGGAUCACUGGCCCAAGGAAGAUGCCAUCUACAAUGGGCUGGAUCCUCCCCCAUCAGUCACUAAUUAAGAAAGUGUCUUACAGUUAGAUUUUAUGGAGGCAUUUUCUUUUUUUUUAAAUACUUAUUUAAUUUAUUAUAUAUAAGUACACUGUAGAUGUCUUCAGACACACCAGAAGAGGGCAUCAGACCCCAUUACAGAUGGCUGUGAGCCACCAUGUGGUUGCUGGAACUCAGGACCUCUGGAAGAGCAGUCAGUGCUCUUAGCCACUGAGGCCUCUCUGCAGCCCGGAGGCAUUUUCUUUUCUUUUUUUUUUUUUUUUUUUUUUGGAGCUGGGGACCGAACCCAGGGCUUUGCUCUUGCUAGGCAAGCACUCUACCACUGAGCUAAAUCUCCAACCCCCCGGAGGCAUUUUCUUAAUUGAGGUUCCCUCCUUUCAGAUAACUCUAUCUUUUGUUAAGUUGACAUAACACUACACUAGCCAGCACAAGUGACCUCCUGUCAACUUGACACACAAACUACAUCACCAUUAAGCCACAGCCUAUCCUUUCUUAUUCGUCCCCAAGAUCUUACAUUAAAAACAUGAAAAACUUUAAAAGUCUCAUGGUCAGUACAUAUUCAAACACAGUAAAUUUUCAGUCCCUUUAAAAUAUCCAGAUUCUUUAAAAAUCCCAAGUCUCUUUUAAAAGCCCAAAUAUGCAGCCAGAUCUUAGGGAGGCAUUUUCUGAAGUGAUGUCCCUUCCUUUCAGAUACUCUAGCUUAUGUCAAGUUGACAUAAGACUAGCCAGCACAGUGUAGGAAAUAAUGCCUAUAAUCCUAGCAUUUGGGGAGUCUAGGGCAGAGGGAUCACCAUGAGUUUGAAGAUAGCCCAGUCUACCUAUCAAGUUCCUACCAAGGCCAGCCUGGGCUACAGAGGAUGCCCUGUCUAAAACUCAGCCUAAACAAAAGGUUAAUACAGGAUAUAGAAUUGAGUACCUGGGGUCGAUGUUCCACAAGAGUGGCAUGAGGCAAACGGCUGUCUGCAACUUCUAUAUCUGCAGAAUCCAGACCACUAAUAGCUUAGAUAUGAAAGAAACAAAGAGGGACAUCAAAAGACGUGACAUGGAAACCACCUUAUGACUCCUGGGUUAACUUUUUAAACGUUCUUGUUUAUUUGAUAUGUAUGGGUGAUGGGUGUUUUGCUCUGGUGUAUGUCUGCACACCACGUGUGUACCUGAUGUCAGAUGCUCUGGAACUGGCAUCACAUUUUGAGCCACCAUGUGUGUGUGCUGGGAAUUGAACCUGGUUCUUCUGUAUGAGCAGCCAGUGCUCUUAACCAUGAAACAAUAUCUCUCUAGCCCCACCAAUUAACCUACUUACCCACUUACACAACUCACACAGACUCACCCACCAUUUAACUAUUUAGGGACCACUCUCCCAUGCCAAUCCACAGAAAUAGCGGUCCUGACGCCUUCAUCUUUUUUUUUUCCUUUUCUUUUUUUCGGAGCUGGGGAUCGAACCCAGGGCCUUGCGCUUGCUAGGCAAGCGCUCUACCACUGAGCUAAAUCCCCAACCCCCCUGACUUCUUCAUCUUAAGUAAUCCGGUGCUAUCCAUGUGAUCAGUCCUCUAUAUCGUCCUUCCAGAUGUUAAGAACACAAAGGCUGCAUGCACUAAGUAACACCCUAAGUGUGACUGUAGCUUAUUGGUAAUGGGAAAUCCUAGCAUGUGCCACAUCCUGAGUUUGGUCCCAGUACCAAGAGUUAAAUAAAUACGUAUUUUUUAAAAAGUAAGGCCUUCUAGGAAGGUUGCCAUUCCAAGAUUUUUUUUUUCUGAGAAUCUAGACCACAACCUCUAAUUAGCCUGCAAAAUUCACUUCAUUUCUCACAUGUCAAAAUCCAUCAACAGCAGAAGACAAUCUCAACAUUCUAGAAGCUGAGGCAGGAGUAUUGGCUCAAAUUUGAGACCAAUGUGGUCUCCAUCAUGAGACCUUGUCUCAUGAAGCAAAACAAGGGACUGGAGAGAUGGUUCAGCAGUUAAGAGUUCCUAUUACUCCUGAUAAAGACCAGAGUUCAAUUCCCAGCACACACAUGGCAGCCCACAACUGCCUGAAACUGGUAAAUCUGAUAUACUCACAUGUAGACACCUACCGACACUCGCAAUGAGAUCCGAUGCUCUCCUCUGGUGUGUCUGAAGACAGUGACAGUGUACCCACAUACAUGAAAUAAAUAAAUAAAUUUUUAUCAGUACACUGUAGCUGUCCUCAUACGCACCAGAAGAAGGCAUCAGAUCCCAUUACAGUUGGUUGUGAGUCACCAUGUGGUUGCUGGGAAUUGAACUCAGGACCUCUGGAAGAGCAGUCAGUGCUCUUAACCACUGAGUCAUCUCUCCAGCCCUCAGACUCACAAAGAAAUCAUUUCCUCUAAGUGCUUCCUCUUUGGAAAUGACAUUUGGUAGUUUCACCGAUGUAUAAAAUGUAUUAAAAUCAACCUUACUUUCACCA